CCAGCCCCCACCCAUAGACGGAACCGGGGCCUGGGCUCUUGCCGGCUCUGGUCCUCACCUGCCGGGGCCGCCCUGGGCACCAGCUCGGCCAGUAUCACACCCCCUUUCCGCAGCGGAACUAGGCCACUGUGGUGCUGAGCCUGCUCUGGCUGUGCAGAUGGAGGGCCACUCCGGUUUGCCUGGGUUUCUGGUUUUAGCACUGAAAGCCCCGUGUCCUAGGAGCACCCUCUGUGCCAGGGGCAAACUGGGGCAGUUCGUCACCCUACUCUGGACCAGCUCGGGGAACACACUGCCUUAGCGCCUUGGACCAUUUACCAGCUUGUCUUUUUCACAAGAGAAAUAAACCUAUCUUUUUAAAGGUGCUGUUAUUUUGGUCUCUAUUAAAGUCUCUGAACCAGUACUCUGAGUGAGCGGUUCCAGUCGCCGGGAGGGCUGGCGAAGAGCACUGGGGCUCUGGGAGCAGAGUGGGCUGGGGAUCUGUGUCUCUAUCGCGCUCUGGCUGGUUGUGAUGGAACCCGAGGCUGAGAACCGCUGUCUUAGGUAGCAGACCUCAGCAAGAGAAAAAGAGUUAGAAGACAGGGAGGCACAGCCUCGAACCUGUGGCUUUCAGGGAUGUCCUGGGCUUGUGAUCCCCAGGGCAGCGGAGCCCAGAACAGAAACUGCCUGACUGUCAGCCCCUGUGUCCCCCCGCAUCCCUGCUCGAGCCCCUACUGCACGGACAGGCCGCUGGGGCUCGGGCCAGGCUACCUCCCCUUCUUCCACUUUGAAGGGUUCAGUUAAAUUGGGACCACCUGGAAAACCCCAGGUACUCGCCCUGUCUUAAGAUCAGCUGCUUGGCAACCUUAAUUGCAUGUGCCACCUUAAUUCCCUUUUGCCAUGUAAUGUAACUGAUGACAACAAUGAUAAUGCAAAAAAAUGAUAAGGUAAAACCGAGAUAUCUGCAUAAAAUCUUAUCAGCUGGCACCAGCAAUCGUGUGAGCACACACGAGAGUGAGAUUCCACAUGCCUUUGCUGUUGCGAAUGACCAUAGAGAGGGAAAGACAGGGGACUGUUCCUUACUUUCCCCACACCCUUGGUGACCUGGUGAGCCCUGUGAGAAAACAGCUCUGUCCCCUCUGGGUGCCCUCUGGGGCCAGCUGUGCCUGGCUCUCUGAUCAUCUGCUGUGGUUCUGAGAGGCUGCAGGGGCGGGGGUGGGGGACGUGGGUGGCAGAGGACACGUCCAUGAAAUCUUUCCUUGAGCCCUCCACUAUUUGGGCAUCAGCCUUCUCUCUAUUUUUUUUUUUUCAGUUUAUAGAGGUAUAAUUGACAUAUUGUAAGGUGAACAUAUUUAAAGGUACAAUUGAGACUUUUUUUGUGUGAGGAAGACUGUCCCUGAGCUAACAUCUGUUGCCAAUCUUCCUCUUUUUGCUUGAGGAAGAUUGUCACUGAGCUAACAUCUGUGCCACUCUUCCUCCAUUUUGUAUGUGGGACGCUGCCACAGUGUGGUUGAUGAGCAGUGCUAGGUCUGCGCCUGGGAUCCGAACUGGCGAACCCUGGGUUGCCGAAGCGGAGCGUGUGGACUUAACCACUGCACUACUGAGCCGGCCCCCAAUUGAUGACUUUCGAUGUGCGCAUACAUCCAUGAAGCCAUCGCACAAUCAAGAUAACCAGCAGACCCCCCACCCCAAUGGGGUUCACUUGGCCUUGAGAUACGUUCCUCUUUUCCCCACCCCCAGAGUUUUCUGUAUUGGAAGGUUUUCAACUGCAAAUUCAAUAUCUUUGAUAGAUAUAGGACUAUUCAGGAUAUCUAUUUCUUCUUGAGUUAGUUUUAGUAGCUUGCAUCUUUCAAGGAGUUUGUUUACUUAGUCUAACUUGUCACAUUGUAUAAAGUUACGUGUAAUACUUCA
rnacentral:lncRNA from 1 species